CNUUUUCUGUGGGUAGACUUCUUCAUUUAGCUUCUUUUUACUUAUUCUCAUUGGGUGAAGUGCUUGGUGUUGAUGGACAUGUCUUACAUGUAUUGACUUCCAUUUGAUUUGGCAGUUCAAAGGGAAAGGAAGGGGGUGAGUGGGUGGGCGGGCGAUUGUAGUUGAAGCCUUGAAGGAACCAUUAUAUUUCAGCCAUGUCAUCAUGAAUUACAGAAGAAUGAAAUGCAUUUGCUAUACUUCUCUGCAUGGAAAAUUUCUGCUUUCUAAUGAUGCUUCUCCCUCCUUUUCUGUCCGUUUGGGCAGACCCUGAAGGUAUAGCAAAUGCACAGAAAUCUCUUGGAUUAGGUCAAGAAGAAAAAAUUCGCAAAGUCCGCUGAGCAAGUUCUUGAAUUCUACAGAACAUUUGACGUGUUCGUUUGAGAACUAAUAUCUCUACCGUUGAUGGAAGAGCAAUUUGUAUUCCAUAGUUGUGUAGGCAUAUGAAUUCAGAUAAAGUAUUUCAUAAUUUAAUUUCUGCAACUUCUGCCAGAAAGAUUCGUGUUUGCUUAAUCACUUGAAAAAUGACCAUAACUGCAACCGAACCGAAAGAUUGAGGACUAAAUGUUUAGAUUUAAAGGCUGGGGAUCAAAGUUUCUACAAACGCAAAAUGUGAGUGACUGAUGCGACAAUUUUCUCAAGUUUAUA
rnacentral:lncRNA from 1 species